AGAUGAGGAUUCAAAAUGAGAUUUUCUUGAAAUGACAGUCACCUUAUUUUGUUUUUUUUUUAUUUUUGUUGAGGUUUUUGAUGACCUCUUUGUUUCUUUGAUCCCUAAUUUUUCCUAGACCACUUCUUUAAAGCUUUUGGACCAUCGGGAUGCCCUGAUUUUGCCGAAAUUGUUUUGUGGUGUUUGACUUAGCGGGCUUUUCUUUAUGAAAGGUGGAGACUGCCACAUUAUUGGUGGAUGAGGAAUAAC
rnacentral:lncRNA from 1 species